GGUGCAUUAGCUACAGUGUUGUGUCAUGAUGUCAACAUGAUACGAUCAUUGUGCUUAUCAACUGGACUGCAUUAACCUAUACAACACCUUCAACAAUAUACUGAUAAGGACUUUGAAGGACGACGCCAGUUAAUCUGGAGGGUCUUUAUCAUGGAAUAACAAUGCAGUAGGAUGGCUCCAACUAGGACUGGCCAAAAAAAAUAUUGUCAAUUAUCGAUAGAAAAAAUUCACUGAAUUGAAAUUGCAGAGCAAUAUUAUAAUAAUAAUAUAAUAUAUAUAUAAUAUAUAAUAUAGUUAUAAUUAUAAUGAUUACUCCAGAGAUUAUUCAAUGUGAUGGAUACAAUCCUGUCUCGAAAAAGAUGGCAUGAAUCUCCAAUGUUCUCUGAGAUGGGAUGAACAAUUUUUGCUAGGAUAUCGAAUAAAUUGACGAUAAUAUCAAUACCAAAGAAUAGUGAUCAACUUGUGAUGUGAUAAUUUAUAUUGGCUUUUUUGAGCU